UUUAUAUAUAUGCAAACAUUUCGUUGUCGCAUUUCAUCAGAUUAUUGCCUCUCUCACCAAUUCCACUUUCGUAUCCUAGUUUGUGUGUGUAUGUAAAUAUGAGAGUUGAAUAAGCGAUCAUACAUUUUAUAAGAAGAGUCGAAAAAAACCGUAGUAUCGGAUCAGCGUCGGUCAUGUGAAGCCAUUUUUGCAUAUUCCUUUCGUCGCUAACGGAAGAAGGUUGUGUUUCGUGGUUUUAGGUCAGGAAAAUAAGAAAAGUCGUAAAAAGUGUAUAUAGAACGGGGAACUAGUAGCAUACGGAAUAUCAUUAAUAUAUGUAAGUUUUGUAUAUGUGCAGAAUUUCGUUGUCGCAUUUCAUCAGAUUAUAGCCUCUCUCACCAAUUCCACUUUCGUGUUCUAGUUUGUGUGUGUAUGUAAAUAUGAGAGUUGAAAAAGCGAUCAUACAUUUUAUAAGAAGAGUCAAAAAAAACCGUAGUAUCGAAUCAGCGUCGGUCAUGUGAAGCCAUUUUUGCAUAUUCCUUUCGUCGCUAACGGAAGAAGGUUGUGUUUCGUAGUUUUAGGUCAGGAAAAUAAUAAAAGUCGUAAAAAGUGUAUAUAGAACUCGUAGCAUACGGAAUAUCAUUAAUAUAUGUAAGUUUUAUAUAUAUGCAAACAUUUCGUUGUCGCAUUUCAUCAGAUUAUUGCCUCUCUCAUCAAUUCCACUUUCGUAUCCUAGUUUGUGUGUGUAUGUAUAUAUGAGAGUUGAAAAAGCGAUCAUACAUUUUAUAAGAAGAGUAAAAAAAAAAACCGUAGUAUCGGAUCAGCGUCGGUCAUGUGAAGCCAUUUUUGCAUAUUCCUUUCGUCGCUAACGGAAGAAGGUUGUGUUUCGUGGUUUUAGGUCAGGAAAAUAAUAAAAGUCGUAAAAAGUGUAUAUAGAACUCGUAGCAUACGGAAUAUCAUUAAUAUAUGUAAGUUUUAUAUAUAUGCAAACAUUUCGUUGUCGCAUUUCAUCAGAUUAUUGCCUCUCUCACCAAUUCCACUUUCGUAUCCUAGUUUGUGUGUGUAUGUAAAUAUGAGAGUUGAAUAAGCGAUCAUACAUUUUAUAAGAAGAGUCGAAAAAAACCGUAGUAUCGGAUCAGCGUCGGUCAUGUGAAGCCAUUUUUGCAUAUUCCUUUCGUCGCUAACGGAAGAAGGUUGUGUUUCGUGGUUUUAGGUCAGGAAAAUAAGAAAAGUCGUAAAAAGUGUAUAUAGAACGGGGAACUAGUAGCAUACGGAAUAUCAUUAAUAUAUGUAAGUUUUGUAUAUAUGCAGAAUUUCGUUGUCUCAUUUCAUCAGAUUAUUGCCUCUCUCACCAAUUCCACUUUCGUAUUCUAGUUUGUGUGUGUAGUAUGUAAAUAUGAGAGUUGAAAAAGCGAUCAUACAUUUUAUAAGAAGAGUCAAAAAAAAACCGUAGUAUCGGAUCAGCGUCGGUCAUGUGAAGCCAUUUUUGCAUAUUCCUUUCGUCGCUAACGGAAGAAGGUUGUGUUUCGUGGUUUUAGGUCAGGAAAAUAAUAAAAGUCGUAAAAAGUGUAUAUAGAACUCGUAGCAUACGGAAUAUCAUUAAUAUAUAAAAUAAAUUUUGGUACCAUGUCUAUUGCUUGCGAUUCUUUUAAAAAUCCAAUAUAUAUGUAAAUUUACAUGUAAUGCAGUUCUUCAUAAUUCAACGGUAUUUUGGUUUAGGUAAGUCCAGCACCUUCUGAUUUAUUUAUUUACAUAUGCUUAACUUUAUAAGAUAAUCAGGCUGGGCGACCGCCAGACAGAUUGUUAUAUAAUUAUAAAUUCUUGACAUUAUUCUCGGGGGAUUGUAAGACACCAGGGUAACCAGUCGAAUAUCUGAAUACCAGAUAACUAUACCACAUACGUGGCAACAUGUGCGCUGCGUCUAUGUCUCUGAAAGCUGCAUAUCACAACAUUCUAGCUUUUAUAGUUCCUGAGAUUGAGGCUUUCACACUGACAGGUGGGCAUGGCCAGUUCGACCCGGCUAUUGAUCAAGAAUAUAUAUACUUUAUAUGGUCGGAAAUACUUUCUUGUACCUGUUACAUACUUUUUAACCGUAAAAACAAACAAACAAAAAAAAAACGGCUUUCUCGCAAAACUUUGUGAUUGUUUAUUGUUUUCCAGCCGUUUUGGUACGGUUUUUUAUAUUUCUUUCGUAUGAAAUACUUUGUCGCCUUCUUACUCCACUAAGGCACUGAACUAGAAGAACUUAAGCAAAAUGGCAAAAGUCCAUCAAUAUUUAAAAACUUCGCUUUCGACUUUCACGUUUAGAUUUUACUAUGCAAAAGGUUAUCGUUGCAAAUCGAUGCGGAACUGGUCUGUUAAGUGCAGAAGAUCGAUGACUCUGCCGGGGUCCAAGUUGAGAGUCACCGAAGGUUUAAGAUCUGUUCGGCAAAUAAAUAUUUAUAUAUUUGGCUAAACUUAAGCCAAAUGGAUCGAUCUCUCUCACAAAGACUUACUUUCGGAAAAACCAAGUUUGCGUGGUCUCAACACUUAUGUAUAUAUAUAUUGUUCGUUUCUACACAUAGGAAAUAUCAAAGCGCUUUAGAAGAAAGGGAUUGUUUAGCGGGAUAACAGUUAUUUUUUACACAAAAAAGGCGACUCCCUCGCAAAGGUCGAAAAUCAAUGGAGGUUAACUUUCGAAAGAACGUUCUAUGUGCAUUUUUUACGCAUAUCUUUCCGGCACCUUUGUAGUUUCACAUACCCACAAAAGGAACACCAAAAAUCAAGCAAAUCCAAAACGGAAGUACUUCUAAUUUCGAUAUGGCCUCCUUAACCCCUCUGUGUGGAUGUUUUUGUGUGUGUGAGAUUUAUUUUCCGCUCUAACUACACGCACCGCGCUUAAACCAAGCAUUUUUCGAUAGUUGAAAUCACGGGAAAACGGUAGGGCGAACGAUAAAAGCUAACUGCAACUGGACCUGGACGAAGGAUGGUAGAGAAAGGGCUCCAUUGUGUUAUGUCAUAUUCCUCUCCUGAUUGCGGAACAGAAGCACGGAAAUCUUGGUUAGGUUGGUAUUAUAUAUCGACCAAAAACAAGGCCGCAACUACUCUGUACGCAGAUCAAAAAGUAUAAAAAAGAAAAUUAAAGCGGCAAAGAAGAAGUACCAGACACAACAACAACAAUGGUAUGCUUUAUGGACUUUGAACUCUGGCUUUGUUGCUCAGCAAAAUAAUAAAAAAGAGCAUUUGCAAAAAAAAAAAAAGCAAAACGAUGAGAAAACGAAAAUGGAAACUGAAAAAUUGGAACAAGAAACAGUGACAUUAACAAUAUAUCAAACAGUGGGAAUUAUAUGAUACAAUUCCAAUUCAAAAUGUAUCAAAAGCAAU